UUCGACACACUAUCAUUAACUGAAUCCAUAGGUUAAUGAGGCGAACCGGGGGAACUGAAACAUCUAAGUACCCCGAGGAAAAGAAAUCAACCGAGAUUCCCCCAGUAGCGGCGAGCGAACGGGGAGCAGCCCAGAGCCUGAAUCAGUAUGUGUGUUAGUGGAAGCGUCUGGAAAGGCGCGCGAUACAGGGUGACAGCCCCGUACACAAAAAUGCACAUGCUGUGAGCUCGAUGAGUAGGGCGGGACACGUGGUAUCCUGUCUGAAUAUGGGGGGACCAUCCUCCAAGGCUAAAUACUCCUGACUGACCGAUAGUGAACCAGUACCGUGAGGGAAAGGCGAAAAGAACCCCGGCGAGGGGAGUGAAAAAGAACCUGAAACCGUGUACGUACAAGCAGUGGGAGCACGCUUAGGCGUGUGACUGCGUACCUUUUGUAUAAUGGGUCAGCGACUUAUAUUCUGUAGCAAGGUUAACCGAAUAGGGGAGCCGAAGGGAAACCGAGUCUUAACUGGGCGUUAAGUUGCAGGGUAUAGACCCGAAACCCGGUGAUCUAGCCAUGGGCAGGUUGAAGGUUGGGUAACACUAACUGGAGGACCGAACCGACUAAUGUUGAAAAAUUAGCGGAUGACUUGUGGCUGGGGGUGAAAGGCCAAUCAAACCGGGAGAUAGCUGGUUCUCCCCGAAAGCUAUUUAGGUAGCGCCUCGUGAAUUCAUCUCCGGGGGUAG
rnacentral:rRNA from 1 species